rnacentral:lncRNA from 1 species
AUCCAUGGUUUGACUAUGCAAUAAAUGUCUUGUAAGUAUGUAUACUUUAUCUCCCACCUAUGAGCUCCACAUAUUAAAGCCUUAUUAGAGUAGGGUGAGAGAGAAGGCAAUGUCACUAUGCCUCAUACCACAAAUACCACAUAUCUUGAGAGAAGGCAUAUACCAUCACUGCCUUGGUAAGGAUCCAAAAAUACCAUAAA